rnacentral:rRNA from 1 species
GUUGAACGCUAGCUACAGGCUUAACACAUGCAAGUCGAAGGACCGGCGCACGGGUGAGUAACACGUAUCCAACCUGCCAUUUAAUGGGGGAUAGCCUUUCAAACGAAAGAUUAAUACCCGAUAUAAAGUAUGGGGAUGUGUUCCACUAGGUUGUUGGUAAUGUAACGGCACACCAAGCCGUAGAUGGUUAGGGGUUCGGAGAGGAAGGGACCCUGAAUAGGAGAUGGGGCACUGGCGAAACUGGUAGGGGGGGCUGCAGUGAUGUAUAUUGGGGAAUGGGCGGUAGUCUGAACCUGCCAAGUAGCGGGAAGGGUGAAGGCGUAUGGGUGGUAAACUUCUUUGGUAUAAGAAUAGGUAUUAGAUGAAUAAGGAUCGGCUAACUCCGUGCCAGCAGCCGCGGUAAUUC